AGCAGCAGCCGCGGUAACGCGUAGGUCCCGAGCGUUGUCCGGAUUUAUUGGGCGUAAAGCGGGCGCAGGCGGUUAGAUAAGUCUGAAGUUAAAGGCUGUGGCUUAACCAUAGUACGCUUUGGAAACUGUUUAACUUGAGUGCAAGAGGGGAGAGUGGAAUUCCAUGUGUAGCGGUGAAAUGCGUAGAUAUAUGGAGGAACACCGGUGGCGAAAGCGGCUCUCUGGCUUGUAACUGACGCUGAGGCUCGAAAGCGUGGGGAGCAAACAGGAUUAGAUACCCGAGUAGUCCCUGUCUCUUAUACA
rnacentral:rRNA from 1 species